rnacentral:snRNA from 1 species
AGAGGUGAUCUGGCUGCAACAUCUGUCACCCCAUUGAUUGCCAGGGUUGAUUCAGUGAUCUGACUGUCUAGGUGGGUGUCCCCUUCCUCCCUUACCCCUCCAUGUACAUGUGAAGUGGCACACUGACCUUUCCCAACAGAGAGGACCAUCGUUCAGUCAAGGGUGUCGCACUAGCUUCACUGCCCUGUUAGGACCUCCAAGCAAGCUCUUGAAAGACAGCCUUCGGAAAGAUUCCAACAGGUUUUCUGUUUGAAUACUGGUGCUUAGUUUAUCCUUCAUU